AUAUAAUGAGAUGUCGAUUCUGAAGAACACUUCGAAAGAAGGUGGUCCCUCUAUUUUACAACCACCUUUGAAGCCGCGGAAAUCAUUGCGUAAUCAAGAAAUAAGUCAAGAACGAUUCCAAAACCUGCGAGCCCUGUUACUGCAGAAGGACGUAAAAGCUUACGAAGAGCUUGUUUGCUAUGUUCGUGAUGCGGGCACUGCAAUCAAGGACACCGAACUGGUCCAGUUGCUCCAUGGAGCCCGUGAUUGUAUAUCAAUGUUAAAUGAAAACCUUAGGCUGUUUGUACAAGUUCUGUUGAUACUGAAAUGGACACACCGAAGUGAAGCCGUAGUAGAAGCUUAUCAAGCUUUCCUAAUUGACUUAUGUCUUGCUCAUAGUUAUUAUCUAAAUUUGCGCUAGAUCAGUUAGUAGCAACAUUUUGCCGAGGUAAGUUUUGUCAUUUGUCAAUGUGCACUUUUCUUAUCAUAUCAUUAACUAGCCGCUGUGG
rnacentral:lncRNA from 1 species